rnacentral:rRNA from 1 species
GACGAACCGUGCGAACGUUGUUCGGAAUCACUGGGCUUAAAGGGCGCGUAGGCGGGCGGCCGCGUCCGGGGUGAAAUCCCACGGCUCAACCGUGGAACGGCCUCGGAUACGGGCGGCCUCGAGGGGGGGUAGGGGGCAUCUGGAACUGUGAGUGGAGCGGUGAAAUGCGUUGAUAUUCACAGGAACUCCGGUGGCGAAGGCGAGGUGCUGGACCCCAUCUGACGCUGAGGGCGCGAAAGCCAGGGGAGCCGGAACGGGA